CUUUGAUAAUCAUUCUUCAAUCUCUGGAGAAUCAACAAAGAAGAAUAAAAAAAAUCCUCUCUUCUUCCUCUCUUUAUCUUCUUUCUCCAUCACCAAAAUACUAGAAAAACUCAAGCCCUUUCUCCCUCUGCAGCCGAGUUUCAUCAUCACCUUCAAUUAUCAUCUAUAA